GCCGGUUUAGCUCAGCUGGUAGAGCAGCGGUUUUGUAAACCGAAGGUCGCGGGUUCGAUCCCUGCAACCGGCA
rfam:Proteobacteria bacterium SG_bin5 316, whole genome shotgun sequence.